ACCCAUUAGCUAGCUUACUUACCAAAUCCAACAACCCCCUAUUAAUAACCACUGAAGGCCAACCCCGCCACCAAACAAACCAUUUUUCCCCCUCAGUACGGGCGACAGAACAGGAACUAACAAAGCGACAGUAACAGUACCGCAAGGGAAUGCUGAAAGAGAAUGAAACAAAUCAGUAAAGUAUUAGGAAGCAGAGCUUAAUUCUCGUACUUU
rnacentral:rRNA from 1 species